rnacentral:rRNA from 1 species
AGUGAACGCUGGCGGUAGGCCUAACACAUGCAAGUCGAACGGCAGCACAGUAAGGGCUUGCUCUUACGGGUGGUGAGUGGCGGACGGGUGAGGAAUACAUCGGAAUCUACUUUUUCGUGGGGGAUAACGUAGGGAAACUUACGCUAAUACCGCAUACGACCUACGGGUGAAAGCAGGGGAUCUUCGGACCUUGCGCGAUUGAAUGAGCCGAUGUCGGAUUAGCUAGUUGGCGGGGUAAAGGCCCACCAAGGCGACGAUCCGUAGCUGGUCUGAGAGGAUGAUCAGCCACACUGGAACUGAGACACGGUCCAGACUCCUACGGGAGGCAGCAGUGGGGAAUAUUGGACAAUGGGCGCAAGCCUGAUCCAGCCAUACCGCGUGGGUGAAGAAGGCCUUCGGGUUGUAAAGCCCUUUUGUUGGGAAAGAAAAGCAGCAGGUUAAUACCCCGCUGUUCUGACGGUACCCAAAGAAUAAGCACCGGCUAACUUCGUG